ACGGGUGUGUAUAAAAGUGGCGAAACGGCUGAGUAACACGUGGGCAACCUGCCCUUUGCACUGGGAUAGCCUCGGGAAACCGAGGUUAAUACCGGAUACUCCAUAUAUAUCGCAUGAUGUAUAUGGGAAAAGCUCCGACGGCAAAGGAUGGGCCCGCGGCCUGUUUAGCUAGUUGGUGGGGUAACGGCCUACCCAAGGCAAUGAUGGGUAGCCGGGUUGAGAGACCGACCGGCCAGAUUGGGACUGAGACACGGCCCAGACUCCUACGGGAGGCAGCAGUGGGGAAUCUUGCACAAUGGGCGAAAGCCUGAUGCAGCGACGCCGCGUGCGGGAUGAAGGCCUUCGGGUCGUAAACCGCUUUCAGCAGGGACGAGGCCGCAAGGUGACGGUACCUGCAGAAGAAGCCCCGGCUAACUACGUGCCAGCAGCCGCGGUAAU
rnacentral:rRNA from 1 species